GUAGCAAAAUAAAUGUUCUCUAUUUUUAAUAACUUUAGGCCCAGUGUCAGUGAAGAUGGCGUGGUCAGUGCAAUCCUGGUGUUUGUGGGAAAUAGAGGAACCUUGCCCAGCUUUCUACUACGGUGUGACCCUGAUGAGGUAUUUUUUUCUGACUUUCCUGCCUCUUUGGAACAAAUCCAUUCACAUUUACUUUGGAGAGCACCGGGACAUUGACAUAAACAGCACUUUCCAACUACUUCAAAACAUUUGGUGACAAAUGAUUUUGGUUUUCUUGUUUUUGUGCCUUUAGAUUUCUUCAGUUUUUUUUUUUUUUUUUUU